AUACGGAGGGUGCGAGCGUUAAUCGGAAUUACUGGGCGUAAAGCGUACGUAGGCGGUUGGUUAAGUUAGAUGUGAAAGCCCCGGGCUUAACCUGGGAACUGCAUUUAAAACUGGCGAACUAGAGUUGAGUAGAGGGGAGUGGAAUUUCAGGUGUAGCGGUGAAAUGCGUAGAGAUCUGAAGGAACACCAGUGGCGAAGGCGACUCCCUGGACUCGAACUGACGCUGAGGUACGAAAGCGUGGGUAGCAAACGGUAUUAGAUACCCUAGUAGUCC
rnacentral:rRNA from 1 species